rnacentral:misc_RNA from 1 species
GUUGAAACAACUUAAAUUAUCUGUAAUACAAGUACAACAAAAGGCAAACAACAAAUUCCUUGUAGAAGCUAAAACUGAUCAAAUGUUAAGAACGUCUCAGAGUUCUGCAUUCAUAUGUGUACAAUUUAAAACAAACUAGAUCAACCUGCCAUAUGACUAAAUCUGAAACAAUAACAUAACUCAUCGAGCUGGAAGGCGAUGUCUUAUGAUACCCUGAUCUUCGUACAACUCAAAGUUUGCUUUAGUAAAUUCAUUGCUUGAGAAAAAUGCUUUGAGAUCAGUCAUGCCAUAAUCAAGUGCCUUGCUUUGUAGCUCCUCAACCUUGACAUCAAUAUGGUCUAGGUUGGCAGCAGAACCUGAAACAAUUUCCUCAAACUGCAAUGCAUCUUUUACAAGCCCACGUAGGAGGUGAAGAAUGAUAGCAUUGAAAUCUUUUUUGUAUGUCAUGUACUUUUUGAAGCUCUUUUGCAAUGCUUUUUGAACCCCAAAUUUCUGGGUUGAUAUAAAUGAAUCCAGAAGGACACGAAUUGCCAUAUCCACAUCUUCUUGAGUAACAUGUUGUCUAAGAUGCAUCCUUGCAUGGGCUUCAGACAUCCUUAUCAUCGAUUCAAUGUGCCUCACUGCUAUGGGAAUUCCUUGUCCAUGCGAAGAUUCUCU